UGAGGAAUAUUGGGCAAUGCCCGAAAGGGUGACCCAGCAACGCCGCGUGGAGGAUGAAGGUCGUAAGAUUGUAAACUCCUGUUAGAGGGGAAGAAUAACUAAGUUUGGAGCUUAGUAUGACUGUACCCUCAGAGAAAGCCCCGGCUAACUACGUGCCAGCAGCCGCGGUAAUACGUAGGGGGCAAGCGUUGUCCGGAUUUACUGGGUGUAAAGGGCGCGCAGGCGGAAUGGAAAGUCAGUGGUGAAAUCCUACAGCUUAACUGUAGAACUGCCUUGGAUACUUUCAUUCUUGAGUUCGGGAGAGAGAGACGGAAUUCCAGGUGUAGUGGUGAAAUACGUAGAUAUCUGGAAGAACACCAGUUGCGAAGGCGGUCUCUUGGUCCGAUACUGACGCUGAGGCGCGAAAGCGUGGGGAGCAAACA
rnacentral:rRNA from 1 species